UGCAUUGAGCCUAGUUUCUUAGAGCAUCUAUGAAGUCCAUAAAGAUAGAGAAAGGAUCUGUUUUAUUCCCACCAUGUAAUGCCCAGCACAACAGACAGUGCUCACAGCAACUGUGUGUUCUGUAACGACUUGAAUUAAUGAGUCCAAAAGCUGAUACUUUAAACUUAUUAUUUUGCCACAUUCCUUCAGGAGACAGGGGCUUCAUACAUAUCACAUUUGAAGGAAGAACAGCACUGAAAGAUGCCAACUUGUUUUUGAUGGUGAGGAUUAAAGAAAGAGUACGUGCAAGCUGGAGGCAGGUAAGAGCAUUCAAAGUUCAUUCUUAUGAUGAUGUCCCGAAUGAUGAUCGCAUUUGCCAGGUAGAGGGUGUUGCUGUAGGUGGCAUGGGUUUCACUUACCCUCAAUACUGUCCCACAGGGACCAUUCCUGGCAGGGGUCACUAUGGACAUCCAGUCUCGUUCAUCACUCUCACUGAAGCCUGAGCAUUGUCUGUCAUUCAGGUACAUGAAGACAUUCAUAAAGCCCAAACUCUGUAGCUGGCACUU
rnacentral:lncRNA from 1 species